rnacentral:rRNA from 1 species
UACGAAGGGGGCUAGCGUUGCUCGGAAUCACUGGGCGUAAAGGGUGCGUAGGCGGGCCUUUAAGUCAGGGGUGAAAUCCUGGAGCUCAACUCCAGAACUGCCUUUGAUACUGAAGAUCUUGAGUUCGGGAGAGGUGAGUGGAACUGCGAGUGUAGAGGUGAAAUUCGUAGAUAUUCGCAAGAACACCAGUGGCGAAGGCGGCUCACUGGCCCGAUACUGACGCUGAAGCGCGACAGCGUGGGGAGCAAACAGG